rnacentral:rRNA from 1 species
GACGAACGCUGGCGGCGUGCUUAACACAUGCAAGUCGAACGGAAAGGCCCUUCGGGGUACUCGAGUGGCGAACGGGUGAGUAACACGUGGGUGAUCUGCCCUGCACUUUGGGAUAAGCCUGGGAAACUGGGUCUAAUACCGAAUAGGACCACGCGCUUCAUGGUGUGUGGUGGAAAGCCUUUGCGGUGUGGGAUGGGCCCACGGCCUAUCAGCUUGUUGGUGGGGUAAUGGCCUACCAAGGCGACGACGGGUAGCCGGCCUGAGAGGGUGACCGGCCACACUGGGACUGAGAUACGGCCCAGACUCCUACGGGAGGCAGCAGUGGGGAAUAUUGCACAAUGGGCGCAAGCCUGAUGCAGCGACGCCGCGUGAGGGAUGACGGCCUUCGGGUUGUAAACCUCUUUCAAUAGGGACGAAGCGCAAGUGACGGUACCUAUAGAAGAAGCACCGGCCAACUACGUGCCAGCAGCCGCGGUAAUACGUAGGGUGCGAGCGUUGUCCGGAAUUACUGGGCGUAAAGAGCUCGUAGUGGUUUGUCGCGUUGUUCGUGAAAACUCACAGCUUAACUGUGGGCGUGCGGGCGAUACGGGCAGACUAGAGUACUGCAGGGGAGACUGGAAUUCCUGGUGUAGCGGUGGAAUGCGCAGAUAUCAGGAGGAACACCGGUGGCGAAGGCGGGUCUCUGGGCAGUAACUGACGCUGAGGAGCGAAAGCGUGGGGAGCGAACAGGAUUAGAUACCCUGGUAGUCCACGCCGUAAACGGUGGGUACUAGGUGUGGGUUCCUUCCUUGGGAUCCGUGCCGUAGCUAACGCAUUAAGUACCCCGCCUGGGGAGUACGGCCGCAAGGCUAAAACUCAAAGGAAUUGACGGGGGCCCGCACAAGCGGCGGAGCAUGUGGAUUAAUUCGAUGCAACGCGAAGAACCUUACCUGGGUUUGACAUGCACAGGACGCCGGCAGAGAUGUCGGUUCCCUUGUGGCCUGUGUGCAGGUGGUGCAUGGCUGUCGUCAGCUCGUGUCGUGAGAUGUUGGGUUAAGUCCCGCAACGAGCGCAACCCUUGUCCUAUGUUGCCAGCGGGUUAUGCCGGGGACUCGUAGGAGACUGCCGGGGUCAACUCGGAGGAAGGUGGGGAUGACGUCAAGUCAUCAUGCCCCUUAUGUCCAGGGCUUCACACAUGCUACAAUGGCCGGUACAAAGGGCUGCGAUGCCGUGAGGUGGAGCGAAUCCUUUCAAAGCGGGUCUCAGUUCGGAUCGGGGUCUGCAACUCGACCCCGUGAAGUUGGAGUCGCUAGUAAUCGCAGAUCAGCAACGCUGCGGUGAAUACGUUCCCGGGCCU